GACGAACGCUGGCGGCGUGCCUAAUACAUGCAAGUCGAGCGGACGAUUCGAAAGCUUGCUUUUGAAUCGUUAGCGGCGGACGGGUGAGUAACACGUGGGCAACCUGCCCUGUAGACGGGGAUAACACCGAGAAAUCGGUGCUAAUACCGUAUAACACGAAAUGUCGCAUGACGUUUCGUUGAAAGGCGGCGCAAGCUGCCGCUACAGGAUGGGCCCGGGGCGCAUUAGCUAGUUGGUGAUGUAACGGCUCACCAAGGCGACGAUGCGUAGCCGACCUGAGAGGGUGAUCGGCCACACUGGGACUGAGACACGGCCCAGACGCCUACGGGAGGCAGCAGUAGGGAAUCUUCCGCAAUGGACGAAAGUCUGACGGAGCAACGCCGCGUGAGCGAAGAAGGCCUUCGGGUCGUAAAGCUCUGUUGUUAGGGAAGAACAAGUAACGUAGUAACUGACGUUACUAUGACGGUACCUAACGAGAAAGCCACGGCUAACUACGUG
rnacentral:rRNA from 1 species